GACAUCAUAGCCAAGUGGUUACGGCGAUAGAUUAGAAAUCUAUUUCCCUUUGGGAGCGCAGGUUCGAAUCCUGCUGGUGUCG